GAUGUAGAGCAGAUAAAGUACAGCUUUUUUGGGUAGCAGUUUUAUCAGGGAGUUUGAGAUCCGGUCUUCGCCAGGACUCUUGGCUGAAGCUAGUGAAGAGAUCUCAGUGAGAAGUUCCUCCAGUUUAAAGGACACUGGAGCCAAGGGAGGAGAUUGAGGUUCAUUCUGGGGGAGAAUCUUUCUUCAAGGUGUUUCGCAAAGGCAUCAGCUUUUUCCUUCGGGGUUCGGGUCCAUCUGUAGGUUUGAGACUUGGUCAAGUUCCUGUGAGUCACACACUGGAGCGGUAUCUUGAGUGGAUGGUCCGCAGGAGGUUGCCUUUUGAUGAGCCUUGUGAUUCUCCAUAUUUUGGCCAUAUUGUAUUUGUCUGCUGGAUCCAGAUCCGUGAGCAUCCUGUCCAUCCUAGCCCGUUUCAGGUGAGGGAUCCGUCAACAUUGCUUGUUGGCAAGCUAGCGCUUUCUCAAGGAGAAGUCUGGCAGUUUUGUCCAGCCUUAUCUUGGAGUGAUGUGGGCGUUUGUUGGUGUUUGUGGAGACGCGGUUUGUGGUGGAGGAGGCAUGGGUGGCUGCCAGCUCUAUGUUUUUCAAAAGUGUUUCUGGAAAGCACGUAUGGAUUGGGAUCCUCUUGGAAG
rnacentral:sRNA from 1 species